ACCUAAAUGGCUCAAUUGGUAGAACAUAUGACUUUUGAUCUUGGGGUCAUGAGUUCAAGUCCCAUGUUGGAUG
rnacentral:tRNA from 1 species